CCUACGGGAGGCAGCAGUGGGGAAUCUUCCGCAAUGGGCGAAAGCCUGACGGAGCAACGCCGCGUGAGUGAAGAAGGUCUUCGGAUUGUAAAGCUCUGUUGUACAUGACGAAUGUGCCGGUUGUGAAUAAUGGCUGGUAAUGACGGUAGUGUACGAGGAAGCCACGGCUAACUACGUGCCAGCAGCCGCGGUAAUACGUAGGUGGCAAGCGUUGUCCGGAAUUAUUGGGCGUAAAGAGCAUGUAGGCGGCCUAUUAAGUCGGGCGUGAAAAUGCGGGGCUCAACCCCGUAUGGCGCCCGAUACUGGUGGGCUUGAGUGCAGGAGAGGAAAGGGGAAUUCCCAGUGUAGCGGUGAAAUGCGUAGAUAUUGGGAGGAACACCAGUGGCGAAGGCGCCUUUCUGGACUGUGUCUGACGCUGAGAUGCGAAAGCCAGGGGAGCGAACGGGAUUAGAUACCCCUGUAGUC
rnacentral:rRNA from 1 species